GACCACUCACGCCUGGCGUGGUGUUGGGGCACGCGGUUCCGCGGCCCUCAAAAGCAGUGGCGGCGCCGGUGGGCUCUAAGCGUAGUACAUACUCCCGCUAUAGAGUUCCCCCGGUGGCUCGCCAGAACCCCCAAUCUUUUACA
rnacentral:misc_RNA from 1 species